GUUUUUGUGGCUUUUCAAACACUCUGCUCCACCUGAAAUACUGAUUCCCGUCAGCAGCAUAGAAGAACUGUCAUUCUCUUUACAAGCACAGAUGGCCCAUGUUUGCCCACCUCUCUCUGUGCCGCAGGACAGCAGCAAGUGUGAAACAGUAUUGAAAUGUUGUUCUCACUGAGAUUUCUGUUUCAAACACAGCUGUGACUGGGUGCUCACUGAUAGCUCAUUAUCUUAGUGUAAAAGAAAAAACUAUGGGCCCUGAUUUCUGCCCUGCAAUUUUCCUCUGGUCAAAACUUUUAGGGAGUAUAUUGGUUCAAAGUAUUAAUAAGAGUGGGAUAACGUAAAAAUAGCUAUACAGACACCUCCCUUGCAUUUCACGUCAAGGCAAGCCUCCCACAUCUGAGAAGAGUAUAUGCCCUAGAGUGCAGCUGCAUGAUGAUACACUCCCUGGAUGUACAGUUAUCACAAAAGGAAUUACGAGAGAAACAAUGACUUAGAUGAGCACAGUAGAAAAUGCAAGCAGGAAACCUUUGAGAUGGCCAUUAGAGAAUUUGGCAAGGAGUUGCUUCACGAGCAUUAAGGAGUCUUUCACACAAGAUGCCCCUACUUGUGGAAGUCAUUAAAUCUAUGAAAUGUAAACCUUAAAAAUG
ensembl:lncRNA